rnacentral:rRNA from 1 species
AGUCGAGCGGAAGGCCCUUCGGGGUACUCGAGCGGCGAACGGGUGAGUAACACGUGAGUAACCUGCCCCAGGCUUUGGGAUAACCCCGGGAAACCGGGGCUAAUACCGAAUAUUACCGGCUGCCGCAUGGUGGUUGGUGGAAAGAUUUUUCGGCUUGGGAUGGACUCGCGGCCUAUCAGCUUGUUGGUGGGGUAAUGGCCUACCAAGGCGGCGACGGGUAGCCGGCCUGAGAGGGCGACCGGCCACACUGGGACUGAGACACGGCCCAGACUCCUACGGGAGGCAGCAGUGGGGAAUCUUGCACAAUGGGCGGAAGCCUGAUGCAGCGACGCCGCGUGAGGGAUGACGGCCUUCGGGUUGUAAACCUCUUUCAGCAGGGACGAAGCGUUUGUGACGGUACCUGCAGAAGAAGCGCCGGCCAACUACGUGCCAGCAGCCGCGGUAAGACGUAGGGCGCAAGCGUUGUCCGGAUUUAUUGGGCGUAAAGAGCUCGUAGGCGGCUUGUCGCGUCGACUGUGAAAACCCGUGGCUCAACUGCGGGCUUGCAGUCGAUACGGGCAGGCUAGAGUUCGGUAGGGGAGACUGGAAUUCCUGGUG